rnacentral:rRNA from 1 species
CUACGGGGCGCUGCAGUAAGGAAUAUUGGUCAAUGGGCGAAAGCCUGAACCAGCCAUGCCGCGUGAGUGAAGACGGCCUUCGGGUUGUAAAACUCUUUUCUAAGGGAAGAACCAGCAGGACAGGAAAUGGUCCCGCUCUGACGGUACCUUAGGAAUAAGGAACGGCUAACUCCGUGCCAGCAGCCGCGGUAAUACGGAGGUUCCAAGCGUUGUUCGGACUUACUGGGCGUAAAGGGAGCGCAGACGGAAGGGUCAGUCUGAAGUGGAAUCCCGGGGCUCAACCUAGGACGUGCUUUGGAUACUGCCCUUCUUGAGUCCGUGAGAGGAAAGCGGAAUUCAGGGUGUAGCGGUGGAAUGCUUAGAUAUCCUGAGGAACACCAAUGGCGAAAGCAGCUUUCUGGCACGUGACUGACGCUGAGGCUCGAAAGCGUGGGGAGCGAACGGGAUUAGAUACCCUAGUAGUC